rnacentral:misc_RNA from 1 species
CGCACAUUGCGCUCUUUGGUAUUCCGAGGAGCAUACCUGUUUCAGUAUCAUCUUACCCUCUAUUCUAUGAAAAGUUUGUUUCAAUGAAUAGGACGUGAGCUUGUUCCCUAUCACAGAGAACAGCUUAAAAAGUGUCGGUGGGAAGAAUGAAAUUAUGUUUGAAUCAUUAUACCCAUUUCUGCAAUAGAAUAACCAUAUUCAGAAAGCAUUUGAGUUUUUGAUGAGUAACUUCAGCCCUCCACCAGUAAUCCAAAUGACAUUGUCUUUUGAUCUGAAAUCAGGCAAGAAAACCCGCUGAACUUAA